UACGAAGGGGGGCUAGCGUUGCUCGGAAUUACUGGGCGUAAAGGGCGCGUAGGCGGACAGUUUAGUCAGAGGUGAAAGCCCAGGGCUCAACCUUGGAAUUGCCUUUGAUACUGGCUGUCUUGAGUUCGGGGAGAGGUGAGUGGAAUGCCGAGUGUAGAGGUGAAAAUUCGUAGAUAUUCGGCGGAACACCAGUGGCGAAAGGCGACUCACUGGCCCCGAUACUGACGCUGAGGCGCGAAAGCGUGGGGGAGCAAAACGGGG
rnacentral:rRNA from 1 species